GUGAACGCUGGCGGUAGGCCUAACACCUGCAAGUCGAACGGCAGCACAGUAAGAGCUUGCUCUUACGGGUGGCGAGUGGCGGACGGGUGAGGAAUACAUCGGAAUCUACUUUUUCGUGGGGGAUAACGUAGGGAAACUUACGCUAAUACCGCAUACGACCUACGGGUGAAAGCAGGGGAUCUUCGGACCUUGCGCGAUUGAAUGAGCCGAUGUCGGAUUAGCUAGUUGGCGGGGUAAAGGCCCACCAAGGCGACGAUCCGUAGCUGGUCUGAGAGGAUGAUCAGCCACACUGGAACUGAGACACGGUCCAGACUCCUACGGGAGGCAGCAGUGGGGAAUAUUGGACAAUGGGCGCAAGCCUGAUCCAGCCAUACCGCGUGGGUGAAGAAGGCCUUCGGGUUGUAAAGCCCUUUUGUUGGGAAAGAAAAGCAGCAGGUUAAGACCCCGCUGUUCUGACGGUACCCAAAGAAUAAGCACCGGCUAACUUCGU
rnacentral:rRNA from 1 species